GUCAGUCGCUCCCCGGCCGGUCUGGCUGGUGGCUGCACUUCCGACGAGGUGCACUCAGGGCUGACCAGCUCCAGUCAUCAGUCAAAGGGGGUGCCUUGAUGACUACGUUCGGUGUAAGCGAGCCCACCCACCCCGUCGUGCUUCCUCAGCGGCGGGCUCUGGA
rnacentral:sRNA from 17 species